AGCGAACGCUGGCGGCAUGCCUAACACAUGCAAGUCGCACGGGUCGGCUUCGGCCGUUCUGUGGCGGACGGGUGAGGAACGCGUAGGGAUCUGUCCUCUGGUGGGGGAUAACCGCGGGAAACUGCGGCUAAGACCGCAUGCGGCUCCGGUGUGAGAUCCGGUGUCACAGGCGCCCAUCGUGAGGUGGGUGUCUACGGGGGGUGAGCCUUCGUCCGAUUAGCUGGUUGGGGGGGUGGUGGGACACCACGGCGUCGAUCGGUAGCUGGUCUGAGAGGGUGAUCAGCGACACUGGCAGUGGGCCGCAGCCGAGAAUCCUACGGGAGGGGGGAGUGGGGGAUAUUGGAACAUGGCGGCAAGGAUGAUGCAGCACUGCCGGGUGGGUGCAGAAGGUCUUCGGAAAGUAAAGCCCUAGCGGCGGGGCCGAUGGUGACGGUACCCGAAGAAGAAGCCCCGGCUAACUUCGUG
rnacentral:rRNA from 1 species